AGCUUCAUAGACGCGCUAAAAGUUUGGCGACGGCGGCCUGCAUUCUAGCAAGCCGAGGAGCUGACAAGAAUAUAGGAAGGACGGAGCCACAGUCGGCACGCAUAGACACAUAAACCGUGCACGUCACUGCCGUCAUCACGCUCGUGCGCUGAGACGGCGUGCUGCAGUCACGUGCCUUCAUAGAACUUCUUUACUUUGUGUGUGCGCGAUCACACCAGUCGCACUGGCACACAAACACACGCCCACCGCCCAGUCACUGGCGCGCUCGUCCUGACUGACUUGUUGUUUGUGUAUCGUCGGCUCGUGUUCUUUCCUGCUCCUUGUGUGCGCGCCUGUGCCCCUUACCUGCCUGGCGUGGCGGCACCUGCCCGUCGUCCGCACCUCUUGCAGUCGGUGCGUGUGGGCUUGUCUGCACUAUCUUUCCUUAACGACGGCAGCGGGCGUCUCAGGCGUUGUCUGCUCGAUACUGCACAUCCGCGUACCGUUGAAAAAGCACGAACAGUGCUUUCUGCGAGGGCUGUGCGCGCAAGCGCGAUGCUCCGAAGAGGUCUUCUUCAAGCAGCCGCAGCCGCAGCGGCGACAGCGGCGGUCAUCUCAGUGCGCUACAGCAGCAGCAGCAGCAAGAAUGGUCAGCUGUGGAUUACAGUCUGUUGUGGAACGUCGACUGCUUUUUUGUCACACCCCUCCGGUGGCAGGGCAAUGAUCCGUGUUCCGCUGGAGCUCGCACAAGGAAUGAUUUUACCAGGCGGCACAAACACCAGGGCGGCCAGUACCGGCGGCUGCGGCUCAUAUCACCCGAGUGCGCUUCACGCGUCUCGCGUCCUUCUCGCGCUCCGCUCCACCCCGCCCCACAGCAGCAGCAGCGCCGUCCUGUCCAGCGCACUCGCCUCCGCUGGUGCCACCCACCACAUCGUCAACUCGCACACCGCGGAGGACGAGCGCGGGCCGUUUGAGGUGACCAUCGACGAAGUCCUGCUGCAUUCGCAUGAUCAUCACAGGAAUGGCGCUGCUGCUGCAGUCGACACUGUUGCCGACCUCGUCCGGCUCCUUGUGGACCCCGACUUGGAGGUCGGCGGUGGUGCCGUGGAGGCGGUCAGUCUCCGCGACUUUGCUGCCAUGACACGGAAGCGGAAGCUCAGGGCCGUCGGCGGCGACGCGGAGUGCCUGGAGGUGCUGCUCAACAGCGAGCGAUACCAAAGCGAAAAAGACGCGCGUGAGCUGCGCCUGCGCGGUGUGGCGACGCUCGGGCAGUGGAAGGAGCAGCCAGACCGAGUGCAACUCAGCGCGUACACACGGGGUGUCCUCGAAACGGCCUACAGCCGCCUCGCUCGCCACCGGCACCGGUCGCAAACGGAUGAGGUGAUGGCGUGGCUGACCCGCGCGAUCCAGCGCGCCGUCGCCGAUGAGCUGAUGGCGCCGAAGCGGUUGACAGACGGUGCUGCCAUGGCCGACCCGUCAGCACCACCCUACCUGGUGGACGUGAAAGCCUCUGCCGUCAGGGAUGCCGAAGCGGCCAUGGCGAGCACCGCAGCGGAGCAAGGCAAUGAUAACGAAGGCCCUGCGGCGGUGGCAGGCCCAUCUGGCGACUCUUCGCGCAACGAGGUUGGCGACGAAAGCGUCGCAGCGCGGCGUCGCGGUCCUCGACAGCGCCCUGUCGUCUCGGGCGUAAUGCCAAAGGCGUCUAAGGUCGCUGCGUUGGAAGAGGACGGUGUUGCCGAAAGCGAGGAGGUGGCGGAUAUGCUUGACGAGAACGCCGAGGAGGUGCUGGAAGAAGGCGAGGAGAUGGUGCCGAUAAUGGAAGAGGAAAGGCCGGCAAGGCGCUCCGCGGCAUCACGCAGCCCGCAGCCGUCCCCUGCCGCAGCAGCUACGCCAGCAGGUCGGCAUGGCAGCAAGAGAGCACCUGCGGCCGCUCCCACGGCACCUCGGCAGCAGCAGCGCCAGCCGCCACCUUCACAAGACGUCGAAGCAGAGGUGGAAGCUGCGGACGUGGACGAGGACGAUGAGGAACUCGUCGAGGAGGUCGAGGAAGAAGUCGAAGAGGCGGAGGAAGAGGAAGCCGCAGCGACGACGGCGGCGCCCUCGUCCACCGCCCCGGCGCAACCUUCAUCACCACUAGCCCCCGCUACAGCACCAGCGCCGCCGGCCGCAGCAGCGACAGCAGCAGUUGGGGCGACCGCAGCAGAGAGGCGGGAAAGGCUGGUCCGACUUGCAGAGCUGAUGAUGAAGCAGUUCAACACCGCUGACGGCUACCUUCACCCGACCAACAAGGCGGAGCGGGAGGCGCAGGAGCAGCAGGGCGACAUUCUGGUGCUCGACGAGGACACCGCGCAGGUCGACCCACUCGCCAUGUUCAGCACCUACCACGCUGCCACGAUCACAGACGCCGACCCGGUCGGCGUACGGGCACUCAAGACGAUCUGGACGUCAUACAACAAGCACCAGAUGGCACUGGAGGAGGCAACAGAUGACGCAGCUGUCGAGUUCUACAAGCGCGAGAGCGUGAACGCGCUCCUGUACGGCUCCGUCCUGAUGCGGGCACUGGCGCGCGAGGAGCAGGUCGUCGUGCUCGAGGGCACGCCGUUGCCGCCUUACGGGUUCCCGCUAGUGUCGUCGGACACACGGCCCUUUGCCGUCUUUGCCGCGGCCGGGGCGUCAUCGUCGUCCUCGGCAACGGCCGUCACUGACAUGACACCUGGAAAGGUGCUCACCGCCGUCCAGGCGUACAAGAUGUUCUUCAACUCGAAGGAGAAGCGCUACUCCCCGUUCCGCCCAGCGAUCGAUCAGAGCGCCGGCUGCAGCGUCGUUCGCCUUUCCGGAACCACGCUGCACCUCUACUACACGUCUACGAAAGACCACAUCAUCGAGGAAGACGUGCGGCUGCCCUUUGCGGAGGUGAUGCUCGGUGUCCUGCACCUGUUACGCCACAAGGUGCUUCCCCGCGUGAACGUGGUGCACUACCACCUCAUCGCAACCAAGAUGGCAGACCCGUCAGACAGCACGGACUUCAUGCUGCGCUCGACAGCGACGAUCGACUUGACGAACCCGUUUACAAAGGAGGAACUCGCUCGACUGCGGGCGCUCGCGACCCCGCUCGGGAUGGCGGAUGAGAUGGACGAGUACCGCUGCAUCGAUGACCUCGUGAUGGACAUCGAGGAUUCCUCCGGGGCCUCGGUGGUGCACAGUCUGCUUCACAAUCGCGAGGACUUGGAGGCCACACUGACCGCGACGCUGGCGCAACUGCUUCCAGAGGAUGGCGACCGCGCCGCGGGUGCGGCAGAGGCGGCCGAAGACGCGGAGGAGAAAGACGAAGAGGACGUGGAAGUAGCUGCGCCGCCACCGCCCUCACGCAAGGCGAGAGGUGCUGCAGCGGCUCCUGCCUCAUCGCCGAGCCACGGCCACACUAGUCGCCGUCGCGCUGUGCCAGAGGACGACGAGGAAGACACGGUGCGUGUGGCGGACGAACAGGCCGCUGAGGCGGUGCCGGCACGCACGUCGCGAGGGAAGCACCGCCAGUCGGCAGGGACACCCUUGCCCACGGCGGCGGCAGCAGCACACGCUUCGCGGAACAGAGAGCAAGAGGAGGCGGUGCUCGAAGAGGCCAUCUACAACCAGUGGCAGCAACAACGCGGAACGAGCAAGACCGGUGCAGCGGCGGCAACGACGCCCAAGUCAAUGGCCGUCGCGCAGCACAGUGACGACGACCGCGCUUCGGCAGAGGAAGCGGAAGAGGACUUCGACGAAGAAUACGAGGAGGUCGAAGAGCUGCAAGAGCUUGAAGAGGCGGAGAAAGAACUUCCACCUGCACGUGCCUCUGCCCGUUCUUCCCUCCCUUCCGCCUCCGCAGCAGCCGGCGCCGGUGCGCGUGCACGUGGCCCCGGCGCCGCCUCACCCGCGCCGCCGGCUUCACAAGCACAAGGAAGCAGCAGGGCCGUAGCAGCAGUACAUGCCGCUGCUGCGUACGAGGAGGAGUACGAAGAAGACGGUGUCGAGAAAGAAGAGGAGGAAGACGAGGAGAUGGAAGUGGUAGUAGCGCCAACGAUCCCGCGGGCCCCUGCUGGGCGUCGCGCUGUCCCUGUCGCAGCUGCCCCGGCGCGGCCGUCACCGCCGCCUACGCCACCGUCACCGGAGGUCCGACGCGCACCGCAGAAGCUGGACGACGACGAGAAGGCUCUGCAGGUGCGCACGCGUCGUGGUGCCCGCCGAUCCACUGCACGCGCACGCGCACUUCCACCGGCGGCCCAUGAGGACGUUGAGGAGACCGCGGCAACAGCGGUUGAAGAUUCGCCGGAGGUGUCGGCAGAGGACGCGGACGAGGAUCAGUGGUUUAAGAAGCGUCCGAAGCGUCGCUACUUCCAGUAAGAAGCGAGGGACCUGUCAGCGGAUCGAACAAGGGAGCUCGCGGGGCAGAGUCGUCUCAAGGCGAGGGUCGCGGUGGCGGUGGCGGUGUUCGCUGUGCACUUGCAUUUGUGUGUGUGUGUGUGUGUGUGUGUGUGUAUGCCCCGGCCACGCUGCUUAUCGCCUCUCUCCCUCUCUCCGCCCCCCCCGCCAUGCGGCUCCUCAUCGAAGGAAAGCAAAACGAGCGGCACCAGUGUCGGCCGAGGAGUGCACUGCCAGCGUUGAUGUUUGUGGGCGUGCGUGCGUCUACUUGUACAGUGCUUGUUGGUCCUCGUGGGCAUGUAUGUGUGUGUGUAUUGUCGGACAGCAGCUGCAUAGAAGAAGUAACGAACUUGUGCAAGCGACCACCAAACCAACGAAACGAAGACCUGCUGUGUGCUUGUGUGCAUGUGUCUGUCCCUGCAGACGCGUUAACGAUACCGCUUUAAGCAGCGGAGAGGAGGGGCGCGUGCCGUGCAGGGGGCGUAUCUCUACACGGAUCUCUUCUCUUUCCUCUCCC
rnacentral:misc_RNA from 1 species